GCCUGUCUUACCUGGAAUGACACAGCUAAAAUGGGUCCAGAACAGGAUCAGGCUUGUGGCCAGGUGGAAGGUUUGCCUCCAGAGCACGUGGAACUGAGAAGGAUGCUCAGUGUCAGAGUUUCUGUGGAAUGGGUCAAUAAGCCCACCUCAGGUGAGAAUGCCAUGCCAAGCAGAUGAGAAGCCUUUGUCAGACAGUUUGGGUCAAGCCCGUCACCUGAUCCCUGACCUACAGCUUGUGGGAGCGGAGCGCAAUGGAUGAAGUCAUCAGUAAAGUGCAAAGGUCACGGGUCCUCGUGGGGAGAGGUGGUUGUGCAAGGAAAACAGCGUAUUCAAAAUAAAUCGUUAAAUCAAAGAUGCCAGCCCUGGGCACGUGUGUCUCUAUGCUGAGUCUGGUGCCUGUGCAGGAGCACAGCAGGGCACGGUGUGGCUGGGUGGCUGCAGGAGCUCUCACGCCAUGGGUUCGAAGUGUAUGGUCACUGCUCAGCAUCGGAGAAGUUAGUGUGCAGUGCUGUGUGCCUUUGCUUCCCUAACCUGG
ensembl:lncRNA